AGACGCGAAUUCUACAAGUUUAGUGGCAUUGAGUAAAGCGCUUGGCGUGAUGUUUUCUAGCGAUCGACCCGAGUUCGAAUCCCGCCUAAGCAAUGCAUUUGGCAGACAAAGGGUUUUUCUUCCUGCUACACCUCUGGAUCCAGAUGACCGUUCCGAGCAGUUACAUUCGAGAUGCCGAGUCUGAUCUGAGAACUAAAUCUAAAGGAUAAAGCUUCCGGUUUUCACACACAAUUCUGUGUCUCUGCUGUGUUUGUAUAUGCUGUUCUUCUAUUACUCCGGUGGGAAGUCGUGUGGAAUGGGCCGGAGACAUGAACAAGAAUGACGCUUGGAUCCGUGUGAUCCAGAUGCAGUUCAGCUGCGACGUGAAGAAUCCUCCAGACAUCUCCAUACCGAUAUCCAUCACUAAAAUCAAGGUGGUGCCGUCUGAUCCGGGGCCUGAAACGGUCUGAAAGACAUUCGACUCACAGGAAUCUGUGCAGAUGUGAUCAGAUCAGAGUUGAAACUGUAAUUAUGAACACAGUUAUAUAUCUUUUGUGAUGAUGAGGAGAAUCUGUCUCAGUCAGAGCUGCAGAAAUACUGUUGUUCACACUGCAAAAAAUUAUUCUCUUACUUAGUAUUUUUGUGUUGUUUUCUAGUAUAAAUAUCUAAUAAUUCUUGAAUCAAGAUUAAUUUAUUGUUAAGUAAAAUGACUUUAGUAUUUCUAUCCUGAAAAAAAAAUAUUUUCUUAGUUUUCUAGUAUAAAUAUCUAAAAAGUCUUGAAUGAAGAUCCAUUGUAAAAUGAUUUAAGAUAUUUUAACAUCUUGUUUUUUUUUUUUAAAUGAUCA